rnacentral:lncRNA from 1 species
AGAUACCAUUCAGCUUUUAUGCUGAUUCAUCAGCUCACAGUGAAACGAGCUUGCAUGAGAGCAUCCCAGGACCACUGAACAUUCAGAGACUCAGCCUGCCUGCACCCAGGUGAAAUAAACAGCAUUGUUGCUCACACAUAGCCUGUUUGGUGGUCUCUUCACACGGAUGCGCAUGAAAUUUGAUGCCGUGACUCAGAUCCGGAGACCUCCCUUGGGAGAUCAAUCCCUGUCCUCCUGCUCUUUGCUCCGUGAAAAAGAUCCACCUACAACCUCAAGUCCUUAGACCCACCAGCCCAAGGAACAUCUCACCAAUUUUAAAUCAGCAAAAUGACAUGAAUGACUGAAAAAGCAUGUGGAGCACAAGACUCAAGAACUAAGUGAAAGGACUCACACUUCCUGAUUUCAAGUAAAGCUACAGCAAUCAAGACGUGGCAUUGAUGUAAGAAUAGACACAUCAAUGAAUGAAACAGAAUACAUCUUCCAGAAAUAAAUUCACACAAAUAUAGUCAAGAGGUUUUUUGUGUGCUAAUAUGUAUAUAAUAUUUACCAUUUUAACCAUUUUUAAGUGCACAGUUCAGAAGCAUUAAGAAUAAACAACGUUGUAUAACCAUCACCAUUAUCCAGUUCCAGAAUUUUUCAUCACCUCACACAGAAACUCUGUACCUAUUAUCAACAAUAAAUUUUCAUUCCCCCCUUGCCCUCAGUCUCUGGUAACCACUAUUGAACUUUCUGUUUCUAAGAAUUUGCCCCUUCUCAGUGCCUAAUAUGAGUGGAAUAAUACAAUAUGGGUCCUUUGUGCCUAGUUUAUUUCACUUACUGUAAUGUUUUCAAGGUUCAUCCAUGUUAUAAUAUGGAUCAGAAUUUUAUUUCUUUUCAAGCAUGAAUAAUAGUCCAUGGUAUGUCUAUACCACAUUGUUUAUCCAUUCAUCAGCUGAUGGAUAUUUGGGGGUUGUUUCUAUCUUUUGGCUAUUGUAAAUGAUGAUGUUAUGAACAUUGGUGUAUAAUGUCUAUUUGAGCACUGCUUUGAAUUGUUUGGGGUAUACACUUAGGAGCGGAAUUACUGGAUCAUAUGUCAAUUCUAUGUUUAAUUUUUGAGGAACUGUCAAGCUGUCUUUCACAGCAGCUGCAUCAUUUUACAUUCCCACCACAAUGCAUAAGAGCUUCAGUUUCUCAAAAUCUUUACCAACAUUUAUUUUUCUUUUUAAAAAUAUAUAAUAGCCAUACUAAUAGUAUAAAGUAAUAUUUCAUUGUGCAUUUGAUUUGCAUUUCCCUAAUGAUAACUGAUGUUGAGCAUCUUUUCAUGUGCUUGUUGACCAUUUGUGUAUCUUCUUUUGAGAUAUGUCUAAUCAAGUCCUUUGUCCAUUUUUUAAUUGGGCUGGGUAUUAUUUUUCUGUUAUUGUUGAGUUGCAGGAGUUCUUUAUAUAUUCUGCCUAAAAGUUCCUUAUCAUAUAUUGAUUUUCAAAAUCUCUCUCCCAUUCUAUGGGUUGUUUUUUUUUUUUUUUUUUUUUUUUUUUUUUUUGCUUUCUCAACAGUGUCCUUUAAUGUGUAAAAUCUUUUAAUUUUGAUGAAGUCCAUUUUUUUCUUUUGUUGCCUGUGAUUUUGUUGUCAUUUUCAAUAAAUCACUGCCAGAUCUAAUGUU